rnacentral:ncRNA from 1 species
AUUGAGUGUUCUGGCUCACAUUUACUAUGAAAGUAAAAUUUACAUGCAAAUUUUAUAGGGAGAAGAAAAUUUUUUAAAUAGAAAGGUUUAUUGGGUCGCAGUAGAAAGGUUUAUUUAUUUAUUUAGGAAACUAAGAAAUAGUUAAUUUAGAAUAUGAACAAAGUUUGUGCCAGCAGUUGCGGCUAUACUUACCAUGUGAUAGUAAAUUUUUGGUUUUAGAGAAAUUUAAAGUGAGUUUGUAGUUUGAUUUAUUAGGUGAAAUUUUAAGUUUUUUGUAGGUUCAGGUAAAUAAGUUAAAUCUAGGAAAAUUUUUAUAUAAACUAGGAUUAGAUACCCUAUUAUAGAAGAGGUAAAUAAGAGAACUAAAUUAGUAGUAGUUAUAUUCUUGAAAAUUAAUGGAGUUGGCGGUUUUUUAGUCUAUUCAGAGGAACUUGUCCUGUAAUUGAUGGCCCACGUUGAAAGUUACUUAUUUUGUAAAUUUACAUAUCGCCGUAGGUUGAAUAUUUUUUAAGGAGAUGAAUAUUCAAGAUUUGUAUUGAGAGUAUAUCAGGUCAAGGUGUAGUUGAUGGGUAAGAAGAGAUGAGUUACAAUGAAUUUAUUUAUACGGAUGUAAAGUUUAAAAGUUUAUUGAAGGUGGAUUUGAGAGUAAUUUUAAAUAUUUUUUUAAGAUGAUUUUAGCUCUAAGAUAUGCACAUAUCGCCCGUCGCUUUCAUUUCAAAGUGAAAUAAGUCGUAACAAAGUAGAUGUACUGGAAAGUGUCUCUAGAAUGAU